UAUCCAUCUAUCCAUCUAUCCAUAAAUAGAUACUUAUGUCAAGGAAAAGGAUUUAUUUUAAGGAAUUGGCUUACGUGUUUAUGCGGGCUGGGAAAUCCAAAAUCCACAAGGGCAGACAGAAAGCUGGAAAUGUAGGCAAGAUUUUGUCUUACAGUGUUGAGGCAGAAUUUUUUUUUUCCUCACGGAAACCUGCCUUUGCUGUUACAGCCUCCAUCUGAUUGGAUGAGGCCAACUCCAUUAUAGAGCACACUCUCUUUUGUUUAAGGUCAACUGACUGUAAAUGUUCAUCAUAUCUACAAAAUACCUCCACAGCAACAUCUAGACUGGCGUUUGACCAAACAGCUGAGCACCAUCGCCUAGCCCGACCAUCACAGAAGUCUCGCGUGGGCUUUAUACAGGAACCCAGUGAGGAGGAAAGAAUGUGAACAGAACACGGGAAAUCUCCUGCCCUUCUUUUACCACCCUUCUUUUACCACCAAAGGGUGACAAGACCCAGAGAAGUUAGUCACCUCUACAGUAACCUUUCCAGACACCCUGGUUUGGGACAUCAAAGGGAAUGGAUCUGAGUUAUAAUUAUGGUUUCGCUCCAGCAAACACACCACCAAGUAGUGUGGGUUCAGGAAAUCACUCUUAUUUUCAUCAUUCUCAAAGAAAGGGGCUCUUUCUGGACUUGGUGGCACCGAGAGAAUUCUCUGAGGAGCAUUGACUGCUUCUGCCCAAGGCUUCCCCUGCUGCAUCGGAGGGACAGGAACAGCAGUGCCAUGGCUGUGCUGGGACCCACACACAUUAAUCAUCUUAAGUGGAGCCAGUCAUCUUUGUCACAUCAUUGGUCAAUCAACUUCAAAAUAUCAGAAUGAGGUGUUGGGUAGAGUUGAUCCUAUUUGGACCCAGACGCGAGCAGGCCCUCUGAUGACAAUGUCACUGAGUCCUGUGGAGCUGGCGAGGAAGGAUUUCUGCCCUCAGAACGGCAGCAAGCAUAUUCUAACCAAGCCUCAGAGGACCUGCACCGCAGCCCUACACAUGCUUUAAUGUAUGUCCUCCUUUAAGGGACGAGGAGUUAAUGAUUUGUCUGGAGCCUUCCAGCACAACAGAUAACAUCUGAGGAAUGACCAGGCAAAGCCAUCAAGUGCAUAUUCCAGACCACUGGUGCUAGACAUCUUGACGCCAAGAUCCCCUGGGUCCGGGGAAUAAGUGACUUAUGAUGGACACCUGGACCCUGUCCUUAUUCUGACCAGUUCCUGGAUGCCCAAGAGGACACGUGUAUCAGGCCACAAACAUCAAUAAAAACCCGAGACCCCAAGCAAAAACAAGACUCCAUUCUUUCCUUUCGGAGUCUCCCAGACACUGUGUCUGUCUGUCCCUGCACUGUCUCUAUACCUUCAAUAAACUCCUCUUUAACUUC